rnacentral:tmRNA from 1 species
GGGGAUGACAGGCUUCGACAGCGUGAAUCUGCGUUGUUUGUGUCUCGAUCCGGGAUUGCUCUGGUUCCCGUUACCCACCGUUGCACCACAUAAUUGCCAAAAGCAAUUUCAUGGCUCGCGUGAAGGAGGUAGCGAACUCUGUUCGUUUGCCUUCCCUCGUUGCGGCCUAAGGUCUGAUUCAGUUCGGACCGCGUUUCUCUCUUGAUCCUCGCUGGAGAGAUGAAACGUCACUAGCGAGGUUGGAUUCCGACUGACGUGACGGACUCCUGACUAAAGCGUCAUCACUUCCGCCCUUUUCUCUGUUGUUCUCCUAUUGGGUGGAAGAACUGAGAACAACAUGAUCGUACAGACCUUCGGCGUACACGUUGGACCCGGGUUCAACUCCCGGCAUCUCCACCA